rnacentral:rRNA from 1 species
UACGUAGGGUGCAAGCGUUGUCCGGAAUUAUUGGGCGUAAAGAGCUCGUAGGCGGUGUGUCGCGUCGGCCGUGAAAACCUGCAGCUUAACUGUGGGCUUGCGGUCGAUACGGGCAUCACUGGAGUUCGGCAGGGGAGACUGGAAUUCCUGGUGUAGCGGUGAAAUGCGUAGAUAUCAAGAGGAACACCAGUGGCGAAGGCGAGUCCCUGGACAAUACCUGACACUGAGCACGAAGGCCAGGGGAGCAAACGGG